ACCGUAGGUUCCGAGCGUUAUCCGGAUUUACUGGGCGUAAAGCGCGUUCAGGCGGUUUGGCAAGUCGGGCAUGAAAUCUCUCGGCUCAACCGGGAGAGGUUGUCCGAUACUGCUGGACUUGAGGGCAGUAGAGGGUGGUGGAAUUCCGGGUGUAGUGGUGAAAUGCGUAGAUAUCCGGAGGAACACCAGUGGCGAAAGCGGCCACCUGGACUGUACCUGACGCUAACACGCGAAAGCUAGGGGAGCGAACGGG
rnacentral:rRNA from 1 species